GAGGGUAUAUCUCAGUGGUACAGUGUGUGCUUAGCAUGCAGGAGGUCCUGGGUUCAAUUCCCAGCACCUCCA
rnacentral:tRNA from 1 species